ACAAAUAUAACAAAUCUUUGCCCAGGUAAAAUAAUAUUCCACAACAAAUCCCACCCCAUGCCAGGCAGAAUUUCAAAUUAUAGUUUAACACUGAAAAAUAUUCCAUUGGUAUUUUUAAAUUAGAAACUGGCAGAGACAGUGAAGGGAAAGUAAAUGGACUGAAUUGUGAGUCUUCCAUUGUGAUUUUUUUUAGGGGGUUUUAUUGCAGGUAGACAUAGUACUUGAAAGUUUGUGUAACUCAUGCAUUAUAAACUGAAUGAAUAUAAAACUCAGUAGAAAAAGCAGAACCAAAUACAAAACCCAGGUCCCACUCAGCUGAAGAGAAACAAAAUACUUCCACAUUCCCUUCCCUUCAUUAUGUGCAGACCCAUGUUUAUAUCUCAUUAGCAUAUCCCAAAAUAUAUGGAAUACCAUAGGGCCUUUUUUAGUACAGUUAGAAUUUCUCUCCCAAAAGAGAUUAGAUUUGUAGAUAUGAGUCCUACAUAGCCAAGUAAUAAUUAAUUAACCCUUAAAAUCACAACAUUCAUUUCAGACACUAUUGUCAGGAACCAGAGUUUAGAGCAUAAAAUAUAUUUUUACAAAACCAUGUGAGCCCUACUUAUUGUGAUACAUAAUAGAUGUUAAAUUAUCCAUUGAAUGAAUUAAUGAUGACUUAUAAAACUUAACUAGCUAUAUGCCAGGGACAUGUUAUUUUAUCCACAAACAAUUUUGUAACUAGUUGUACCAUUUCUUCCUAGUUAUGAGAAAGAGGGAGAAGGAGAAAGAGAGAUUAGUCUGAAAUCUGGAUAGAACAUCUGUUGUGAUGUAAGACACUAAUGAAAUGUCACAAUGGGAUGUGGCAUGGAACUUAAAGGUGAUGAAAGGCAUAAAGUAGAAGGGAUUUCAACAAGUUCUAGUUUUUAGGCUUUUAAGAGGUUUGUUCCGAUUGUUAUCCUGGGUGUCUUCCUAUCAGAGAGAUUUGGCUAAUCUGGUGUUGUGCAUUCAUAUCCACCACUUGAAGAGUGCCUUGGAUGGAAUUCUGCAUGCCAUCUUCAUGACUGUGGGGGCAGUUGAUGAUCAGUUUCCUGUUUGGGCUUACCUUCCUGUAUAAAUACGAUACUGAUAGGUGAAGAAGGGCAGGCUGGCUGCUGACGCCUCUUUACCCUGUACUCUAGGAAAAGUUAUUGUUUAAGGUUGAGGAUUUUUUUUCCCUCUCCCUUAAAGUCAGGUGUUUAAGUGUA